AUACGGAGGGGGCAAGCGUUGUUCGGAAUCAUUGGGCGUAAAGGGCGCGUAGGCGGCCACAUAAGUCGGUUGUGAAAUCCCUUGGCUCAACCAAGGAACUGCAGCCGAAACUACAUGGCUAGAGUCCGGGAGAGGGUAGUGGAAUUCCCAGUGUAGCGGUGAAAUGCGUAGAUAUUGGGAGGAACACCAGUGGCGAAGGCGGCUACCUGGACCGGUACUGACGCUGAGGCGCGAAAGCUAGGGGAGCAAACAGGAUUAGAUACCCCGGUAGUCC
rnacentral:rRNA from 1 species